UAAAUCAGGAUGAAACGGAGCAUUCAAGAUAAAAAACAGACGAAGAACUACAGCACUUAAGGACAUGUUAAGAGUUUGCAUUCAGCAGCGCUUAAAUGUGUGUACGUGUAUGCUUAUUCAUUAUAACCAGCAGUGAUCUCCAUUACCAUUGGUUCACCUUGCUAUCUCUUUGAGAUUCAUAAGCAUGUUGAAAAAUCUUGACACCAGCAACCACCAAGUUUAAUUGUAAACAUCAUAAACAGCAAAGGACAAGGUUAACACUGACUUCAAAAAUCCCUUGUUCAGAGACUCGCAGCUUCUGAUUUGUGCAGCUCCACUCUGCUGUUGAGUCCAGUAUCCAUGCACAGGAUGGGGGCUGCGUGGGGCAGGCCCAGUGGAAUGAAGCAGUCUUUGCUAUGCAUCAUCAACUUUUGGCUGUAGUCCUCUUCAUGUCAUUCAUCAAAAUCCAUACCCUUCAGCAGGUGGUGCUGUAGUGCAGUCCAGGCUGGCGCUUGUGAGGAGGAAUCCCAGAGGACAGCUCAGGAGGAGAGGAGAGAGGGGGCCAAGAGAAGCCUGGUUUGAAAUCCUUUAGUCCCUGUCGUCCUUGUGCUAAGGACCAG